UAGUCAGGGUGAAAAGACGGUAGGUCACUAUCGCAGUGCCCUUGAUACUGAAGAGCUUGAAUGGACCAGAAGUAGCCGGAAUGUGACAAGUAGCGGUGAAAUGCAUAGAUAUGUCACAGAACACCGAAUGCGAAGGCAGCUUACUGUGGUUUAAUGACGCUGAGGCACGAAAGCGUGGGGAUCAAACAGGAUUAGAUACCCUGGUAGUCCACGCCCUAAACGAUGAAUACUCGCUGUUAGCGAUACACAGUUAGCGGCUAAGCGAAAGCGUUAAGUAUUCCACCUGGGGAGUACGGUCGCAAGAUUGAAACUCAAAGGAAUUGACGGGGGCCCGCACAAGCGGAGGAGCAUGUGGUUUAAUUCGAUGAUACGCGAGGAACCUUACCCGGGCUUGAAAGUUAGUGAAUCAUUUAGAGAUAGAUGAGUCCGCAAGGACACGAAACUAGGUGCUGCAUGGCUGUCGUCAGCUCGUGCCGUGAGGUGUUGGGUUAAGUCCCGCAACGAGCGCAACCCCUAUGUUUAGUUGCCAGCACGUCAAGGUGGGGACUCUAAGCAGACUGCCUGUGCAAACAGAGAGGAAGGAGGGGACGACGUCAAGUCAUCAUGGCCCUUACGUCCGGGGCUACACACGUGCUACAAUGGAUGGUACAGAGGGCAGCAAGCUGGCAACAGCAAGCCAAUCUCCAAAAGCCAUUCACAGUUCGGAUAGAGGUCUGCAACUCGACCUCUUGAAGUUGGAUUCGCUAGUAAUCGCAUAUCAGCAAUGAUACGGUGAAUACGUUCCCGGGCCUUGUACACACCGCCCGUCAAGCCAUGGAAGUUGGGGGUACCUAAAG
rnacentral:rRNA from 1 species